rnacentral:lncRNA from 10 species
AGAACUAUUUAACUUACGAUAAUAAUGUCUCUGGAAGGAUUCACAAGCAACCCAUAAAGUAGUUGCCUUCAGGGGGAGGGACUAGAUGGCCCUAGUACAGGCGUGAGCCAUGGCGCCCGGCCCCCGUCUUAUCUCUUUAAUUGCAAUCUAAGUUCCUUAUGGGAAGAACCACUAAAAUAGAUUCCUUUUACACCUCCUGCAGCACUAGGCAUAUACCAUGUUCUCAAGGAACUUUUGCUGAGCCAUCAAUCUCCUCAUGAAUAUUAUUCUAUAUUUAUUUCACUUCCUUUUGGCAGACAUUCAUUUGGCAAGCUUGGGCUAUCACAGAAUCGUAUGGCAUUUGUGACUCUAUCACUGAAUCAAAUGGAUUCUCUGAAUUUACCACAGAGGACAAGGCCUAG